rnacentral:tRNA from 2 species
CUCGUCUCUCUCCUAUUGGUGAAGUGAUCUCAGGCUGUAACCCUGAGCCCUGCGGGGUGUGGUGGUUCGAAUCCAUCAGGCGAGAC